rfam:Gemmatimonadetes bacterium SCN 70-22 ABS52_C0062, whole genome shotgun sequence.
CGCGUUUUUCGCCGCGGCGGAGCUCGACCGCUUCACGAAGUAGGAGCAGUAGAGGACGCGGCCGAUGCGACCCAGCGUCCCGAUGUUCCUCCCGAUGUUCCUCAUGCGCUGAUGUACGCGUUCAUUGACGCGCAUCGCACAGCCUACGGCGUCGAGCCGAUCUGCCAUUUCCUGGGGAUCGCGCCG